rnacentral:lncRNA from 1 species
CCCCCUCGGUUCUCCAUUAGGAGCGCAAACAGCAAGCGGGUUUGGGGCAAGAGGUAAGGAGGACCUGGAGAGCGGACAGAGGUGAGUGUGGGGAUGAAACAAGUGUGGAAGGCGAAUGAGGGUCUGUACUCGGAAGAAGAUCUGUAGGAACGGUGGAAAAGAGAGAGUUGGGAAGUCUUGGGGGAGGUAGUAGGUACAGUGUAGUAAGGCGGAGCCGAUCAUGAAAGUGAAUGGGAUAGGCGUGCUAGGUCAAGAGUCCCUGAUGGGAGGGCGGGAAUUGUUUAGUCUCCUAAGUCCUGGAGGUCACUUGUACCUGCGCCUCGCGCAUCUUUAACACCUAGGCUCCCCUGGAGCUCCGUGCCCUUCUUGGAGGAGUGCUAUGGCCUCUUCCCCGGCCUGGAGGCGGCGCUUACGGGGAUUCACAAGUUUCUGUGCAGGGCGUAUUCUCUAGAAGGGCUUUGGAAUUAAGAAGACGAAAGCGCGCGGGGGUAAGGAGCAUUCGAGACUACUUCGGGGUGCGGAAAGGGGGGUUUGCUGGAGAGACAGGGGAGAGGAACCAGAGACGACUGCGCUUAAGCCCGGAGAUCAGUCUUGGGGCGAAGGGGACCGUCCUGACUCCACUUAAAGGCUUAGAAGGGAGAAAAGUAUGUGACUCUGCUGAUGGAAGAUCAGCCCGGCAGAACCGUGUGGGGGGGGGGGGGGCGGGCCGAGAGAACCGCUGUUAAUUAGAAAUGAAGACAGUCAACAGAUACAUUUCAGUGUCAGUGACUUCAGAUUCAUUUGUUAAAGCUUUGGGCGCAAGAAAUAGUGGCUCCCGCCCUCAAAAAGCCUCUGUUGACUUAAGGAACACUUAAGUAGUUGCGGUUGGGGAGGAGCCCUAGGGCAGCUCCACCCUCGUUCCGGACAGCCGCACUGCAAACUGGAAUCACUUAAUGUGUACCUUCGGUGAGGUCAGUUUUGUGCGGGGCUGGGGAUCAAAUCCGGGGCCUUAGGUAUGCUAGGUAAGCACUCUACGAACCGAGUUACAACCUCAGCCUAAAAUUAAACAAACCAAACAUUAUGUAUUGCGUAUGUGCUAGAAUACACGCCACGCACAGCACCGUGUGGAAGUCG